ACGGAAAAAAAGCAGAAAAAUCCUGCAAGAGUGCCUAUGGGAGCGAUCUCACUUGCGUAGGCUUUGCAUGCUGCUCACACGUGCACACGCACAGCCAACGUAGGAUGUGUGCCCAUCCUGUCUGCGUGGAGCACGAGGCAUGGUCUGUGCACAGUCCUUUCAAGCUCGACUCCGUGCGCCAUGUGCGCUCGCCGUCCACGCGGUACCCCUGUACGCAGCACCCUACACGCUGUAGC
rnacentral:lncRNA from 1 species